rnacentral:rRNA from 1 species
AGAGCGAACGCUGGCGGCAGGCUUAACACAUGCAAGUCGAGCGGGCGUAGCAAUACGUCAGCGGCAGACGGGUGAGUAACGCGUGGGAACGUACCUUUUGGUUCGGAACAACACAGGGAAACUUGUGCUAAUACCGGAUAAGCCCUUACGGGGAAAGAUUUAUCGCCGAAAGAUCGGCCCGCGUCUGAUUAGCUAGUUGGUGUGGUAACGGCGCACCAAGGCGACGAUCAGUAGCUGGUCUGAGAGGAUGAUCAGCCACAUUGGGACUGAGACACGGCCCAAACUCCUACGGGAGGCAGCAGUGGGGAAUAUUGGACAAUGGGCGCAAGCCUGAUCCAGCCAUGCCGCGUGAGUGAUGAAGGCCCUAGGGUUGUAAAGCUCUUUUGUGCGGGAAGAUAAUGACGGUACCGCAAGAAUAAGCCCGGCUAACUUCGCGCCAGCAGCCGC